AGAGUUUGAUCCUGGCUCAGGAUGAACGCUGGCGGCGUGCCUAAUACAUGCAAGUCGAGCGAACGGACGAGAAGCUUGCUUCUCUGAUGUUAGCGGCGGACGGGUGAGUAACACGUGGAUAACCUACCUAUAAGACUGGGAUAACUUCGGGAAACCGGAGCUAAUACCGGAUAAUAUUUUGAACCGCAUGGUUCAAAAGUGAAAGACGGUCUUGCUGUCACUUAUAGAUGGAUCCGCGCUGCAUUAGCUAGUUGGUAAGGUAACGGCUUACCAAGGCAACGAUGCAUAGCCGACCUGAGAGGGUGAUCGGCCACACUGGAACUGAGACACGGUCCAGACUCCUACGGGAGGCAGCAGUAGGGAAUCUUCCGCAAUGGGCGAAAGCCUGACGGAGCAACGCCGCGUGAGUGAUGAAGGUCUUCGGAUCGUAAAACUCUGUUAUUAGGGAAGAACAUAUGUGUAAGUAACUGUGCACAUCUUGACGGUACCUAAUCAGAAAGCCACGGCUAACUACGUGCCAGCAGCCGCGGUAAUACGUAGGUGGCAAGCGUUAUCCGGAAUUAUUGGGCGUAAAGCGCGCGUAGGCGGUUUUUUAAGUCUGAUGUGAAAGCCCACGGCUCAACCGUGGAGGGUCAUUGGAAACUGGAAAACUUGAGUGCAGAAGAGGAAAGUGGAAUUCCAUGUGUAGCGGUGAAAUGCGCAGAGAUAUGGAGGAACACCAGUGGCGAAGGCGACUUUCUGGUCUGUAACUGACGCUGAUGUGCGAAAGCGUGGGGAUCAAACAGGAUUAGAUACCCUGGUAGUCCACGCCGUAAACGAUGAGUGCUAAGUGUUAGGGGGUUUCCGCCCCUUAGUGCUGCAGCUAACGCAUUAAGCACUCCGCCUGGGGAGUACGACCGCAAGGUUGAAACUCAAAGGAAUUGACGGGGACCCGCACAAGCGGUGGAGCAUGUGGUUUAAUUCGAAGCAACGCGAAGAACCUUACCAAAUCUUGACAUCCUUUGACAACUCUAGAGAUAGAGCCUUCCCCUUCGGGGGACAAAGUGACAGGUGGUGCAUGGUUGUCGUCAGCUCGUGUCGUGAGAUGUUGGGUUAAGUCCCGCAACGAGCGCAACCCUUAAGCUUAGUUGCCAUCAUUAAGUUGGGCACUCUAAGUUGACUGCCGGUGACAAACCGGAGGAAGGUGGGGAUGACGUCAAAUCAUCAUGCCCCUUAUGAUUUGGGCUACACACGUGCUACAAUGGACAAUACAAAGGGCAGCGAAACCGCGAGGUCAAGCAAAUCCCAUAAAGUUGUUCUCAGUUCGGAUUGUAGUCUGCAACUCGACUACAUGAAGCUGGAAUCGCUAGUAAUC
rnacentral:rRNA from 1 species